UUGAACGCUGGCGGCAUGCUUACACAUGCAAGUCGGCCGGCAGCACAGAGAAGCUUGCUUCUUGGGUGGCGAGUGGCGAACGGGUGAGUAACAUAUCGGAACGUACCGAGCAGUGGGGGAUAACUAAUCGAAAGAUUAGCUAAUACCGCAUAUCUUCUGAGGAAGAAAGCAGGGGACCAUUUGGCCUUGCGCUGUUUGAGCGGCCGAUAUCUGAUUAGCUAGUUGGUGGGGUAAAGGCCUACCAAGGCGACGAUCAGUAGCGGGUCUGAGAGGAUGAUCCGCCACACUAGGACUGAGACACGGCCCAGACUCCUACGGGAGGCAGCAGUGGGGAAUUUUGGACAAUGGGCGCAAGCCUGAUCCAGCCAUGCCGCGUGUCUGAAGAAGGCCUUCGGGUUGUAAAGGACUUUUGUCAGGGAAGAAAAGGGCGGGGUUAAUACCCCUGUCUGAUGACGGUACCUGAAGAAUAAGCACCGGCUAACUACGUG
rnacentral:rRNA from 1 species